AUUGAACGCUGGCGGCAGGCCUAACACAUGCAAGUCGAGCGACCGGCGGACGGGUGAGUAAUGUAUGGGGACUGCCCGAUAGAGGGGGAUAACUACUGGAAACGGUAGCUAAUACCGCAUACUAUCGAAUAACCCAUAUGGGAUUAGCUAGUAGGUUAGGUAAUGGCUCACCUAGGCGACGAUCCCUAGCUGGUCUGAGAGGAUGAUCAGCCAAACUGGGAACGAGACACGGCCCCGAACCCUACGGAGGCAGGAGGGGGGAAUAUUUCAAAAUGGGCGCAAGCCUGAUGCAGCCAAGCCGCGUGGAUGAAGAAGGCCCUAGGGUUGUAAAGUACUUUUAGUCUGGAGGCGUUACCGACAGAAGAAGCACCGGCUAACUCCGUGCCAGCAGCCGCGGUAAUUC
rnacentral:rRNA from 1 species